CUGGGUUGGAGAAACAACUUCCAAGCCUAUUGGCUCUUCCAGAUAGCCUUGUCCUCCCAGCAAGGGGUAGGUGAGUUAGCUCAUCCUUUGGCAGGAGCUGCAGAGGAACAGGGACCAGAGCUCUGGGGGAAGUCCAAACCCCUGUCUGCCUUGGGGUGGGGGGCCUGCCCUGCGUGUGCCCUCUGGGGUGGCCCCUGCCCUGCACUGUGCCGGGAUGGGGUGGGGCUACACCCCAGGCUCAGUCUGCCCCGGCCUUCUUCCUGAACAGCCGAGUGUGGCAUGCCGCAGGGCUUUGCAGCUCAGUGCCCCAACUGCUCGGAGGCAGAGGAAGACCUACUAGACCAUCCCAGGUGCAAGGCUAUGGAGCACAGACCUGAACUGGAUGGACUUUAUACAUCCUCUAAUUUGAUACCCCCAAAGAUAUUCUUAUCUAUUUUUUCUGCUAGAUUUGUCUGCGCUGUUUAGUACAGACAUGACUUACCCUCCAAGCUGUUCUACCUCUCUGCCAUCUGCCUUGUCCACCAGGAUGACUCUGUCCUAAGGCCUGCUUCUAGGAUUAGUGAGCCCAUAGAAACCUCACCGUUUCUUGAGGGGGGCCUACCCAUGCUGCUCCCUACCAUUGUACUCACUCUCCAGACUGCUCCACCCAGGGGUGUGCUGGGAAAUGUUGAACCGCUUCUGAGGAAGAUGAAAAAACAAUCCCAUUCCCAUGACACACUUUGAAGUUUAAUAUACAUUAUUGACAUUUUCCCCAUCACUUUCCUUUUCUUUUUUUUUUUUUGGAAGAUCAAUGGGUUUUUUUCCUUUUUGAAAUUUGAAUGAAUCAGCCAAAAUCUACUUUCUCACACACAUAUCCCAUAUUCUUCCCCCAACUGAGAACAUGAGAAAAACAAAACCCAUUACAUACUUGUAUAGUCACUCCAAACAGCUUUCUACAUCAAUAAAGUCCAAAACUAACAUG